UAGGCUAGCAAACAAGCUAUAUAGUGUUCCAACUUACAGCAAAACACAAGCGAAAACAAAAAGAAAGCGUAAAGUUUGACUAAGUAAGGCCAAUAAAUCCAGUUGACAGCCAUCCAUUGGAACAAAAAAAAUACAAAGCUGACGCCUCUAGAUGCUGCCCAACUAGGGCAAGCUGAUCCCGUUGAUCAUCACGCCGUUGCAAUCUUGCCCACUGCCGGAGCUAGUAAGUUCUCCUAAAAAGUACCUGCAAAAAAGGUUUUGGUCUACAUUUGUCAAAUCCACCUCAUUUCUUAUUAGCCACACUGCCCAACAAAGUGCCGACGCUGCUGUCA
rnacentral:lncRNA from 1 species